rnacentral:miRNA from 1 species
AUCUGCUCUCAGGAGCUGAUUUCAUUUGGGAGCAUAGAUGUUUGUACCCAGUUUCUAGCACCACAUGAAAUCAGUGUUCUGGGAGGCGGACUGCCA